rnacentral:ncRNA from 1 species
GCUCAAGUAGGGGCUACCCUAAACCCUAAAGUUCAAUCCUAUUGCACUAUGAAAUGUGGGUUUUGUAUGAGGUGUAGAAGCUUUGGCACAAGUGAUAUACCACUACUUUUAAAGUUAUUUUACUUACUCUGUGAGGUGGAGAUGGGGCUUAGCCCCUUCUUCUUGUCCCAAAUCCAGCUCAUGCUAGCCAAUCUAGGCGGAUAACAUUGUUAGAUGGGGAAUUUGGCUGGGGCAGCACAUUUGCUAAAAGAUAAUGCAUGUGUCCUAAGACGAGCUCAAUGAGAACAAAACUCUUAUGUGGAACAAAAUGGUAAAAGCUCAUUUGAUUUUGAUCUUCAGUAUGAAUAGAAACUGUGAAAGCAUGGCCUGUUGAUCUUUUAGUGUUUCCAAAUUUGAAGCUAGAGGUGUCAGACAAGUUACCACAGGGAUAAUUGGCUUGUGGUAGCCAAGUAUUUAUAGCAAUAUUGCUUUUUGAUCCUUUGAUGUUGGCUUUUCCUAUCAUUAUGAAGUAGAAUUCACCAAGUGUCAGAUUGUUCACCCACCAAUAGGGAACAUGAGCUGGGUUUAGACCGUCAUGAGACAGGUUAAUUUUACCCUACUAAUGAGCUGUGCCACUAAUUCAACUUAGUACAAGAGGAACUGUUAAUUUACACAAUUGGUAAUUGCACUUGGCUAUGGUGGAAAGCUACCAUAUGUGGGAAUAUAACUAAAUGCCUCUAAGUCAAACUCCAUUGUAGAUGUGGUGCUCUCUACCUCCUUAGCUAUUACCUGAUUAAGGUUAGGGGGGGCCCAUGCUCCCUCAAGAACACAUGACACAAGCACUGUCCCCUAAGGCCCAUGCUCCCUCGAGGGUGUGGCUUGGAAAUCCAAUUUCAAAUGAUCAAGGAGAUAAAUCUUUUGUAGAUGACUUAAAUAGGGGAUGAAGUACUAUAAGUGGCAAAGUAGUUUGUGUAAGCAACUAAAUUUUUUCAUUCUACUUUAGUCACUU